AGCGAACGCUGGCGGUAGGCCUAACACAUGCAAGUCGAACGGCAGCACAGGAGAGCUUGCUCUCUGGGUGGCGAGUGGCGGACGGGUGAGGAAUACAUCGGAAUCUACUCUGUCGUGGGGGAUAACGUAGGGAAACUUACGCUAAUACCGCAUACGACCUACGGGUGAAAGCAGGGGACCUUCGGGCCUUGCGCGAUUGAAUGAGCCGAUGUCGGAUUAGCUAGUUGGCGGGGUAAAGGCCCACCAAGGCGACGAUCCGUAGCUGGUCUGAGAGGAUGAUCAGCCACACUGGAACUGAGACACGGUCCAGACUCCUACGGGAGGCAGCAGUGGGGAAUAUUGGACAAUGGGCGCAAGCCUGAUCCAGCCAUACCGCGUGGGUGAAGAAGGCCUUCGGGUUGCAAAGCCCUUUUGUUGGGAAAGAAAUCCAGCUGGCUAAUACCCGGUUGGGAUGACGGUACCCAAAGAAUAAGCACCGGCUAACUUCGUGCCAGCAGCCGCCGUAA
rnacentral:rRNA from 1 species